UUGCGUGCUGUAACAUAGUAAUUUUCUCAAUUAG
rnacentral:tRNA from 1 species